rnacentral:pre_miRNA from 1 species
CAACUACUCCCUCUGUCCCAAAUUUCUUGUCUUAGAUUUGUCUAGAUACAGAUGUAUCUAAUACUAAAAUGUGAUUUGAUACAUCUGUAUCUAGACAAAUCUAAGACAAGAAUUUUGGGAUGGAGGGAGUACUUU